rnacentral:rRNA from 1 species
AUUGAACGCUGGCGGCAGGCCUAACACAUGCAAGUCGAACGAGUGGCGGACGGGUGAGUAAUGUCUGGGAAACUGCCCGAUGGAGGGGGAUAACUACUGGAAACGGUAGCUAAUACCGCAUACCAUCGGAUGUGCCCAGAUGGGAUUAGCUAGUAGGUGAGGUAAAGGCGCACCAAGCCGACGAUCGCUAGCUGGUCUGAGAGGAUGACCAGGCACACUGGGAAGGAGACACGGCCCAGAUUCCUACGGGAGGCAGCAGGGGGGAAUAUGGCGCAAUGGGGGCAAUCCUGACGCAGCCAUGCCGCGUGAAUGAAGAAGGCCUUCGGGUUGUAAAGUUCUUUCGGUAGCGAGGCGUUAACUACAGAAGAAGCACCGGCUAACUCCGUGCCAGCAGCCGCGGUAAUUC